CCAGGUAUGAUUUCCAAACCACAGGGCAAAGCCAACAGUUUUUCCCUUCUUCUUGAAUAAAAGAAGUGGUGUUGAUAAGUUUAGUUGUCUUCCCAGGUGGGUUGGUCAUGCAUCAUUUACCUUCUGGCAACUCCUUCAGCUGUUGCAAACCCUCUUUAUUAAUUAUCACUCUGAUUAAUUGAUUUUACCAUUACUGAUUGAAUUAUUGAUUGGCAUCUUUGGCCUUUGUCUGACCUUGAGAGGGAGCUAGAGAUGCAGCAGUAAGACAUCACAUAACUUACACAAAAUAGUGCCUCAACAUAUAGUGACCAGAUAGUCUCUGCUCAGGGGGCCUGUCACAACUGGGACAGGAUAUUUAUCCUGAAAGGAGAUAGGAAGCCUUCAUAAUUACUAACUGUGGAUAUAUGAUCUUUCUACCAGCCUCCUACAACUGCCUUUUAACUGUUUAUAUAAUGCCUUCACUAGCUGAAGCAAGUCUUCUGGAGGGCAUUUCUUCAGUCAAAGAAAAGCCAGCUCUGUAAGGCUGACUCUGGGUCUCACUAAUACAGCCAUAUCUGGAGCUAAUUUGUUAAGUUUCAGUUCCUCAGCAUGUGGAACUUUGUGCUAAAGUCUGCUAAAUUUGCCAAAUGUGGUCUUCAUUGUCAUCCGUGUAAUUUUAUAUAUGCAUUUUUCAGCCUUAAAAUUACAGUAUUAACUUUAAAAGUUAGUUGCAAAAUUAUGCAGGCCCGAAUGGAAGUGGGUUUGAAUUUUUUCCCAGUAGCUUUAAAUGUACGUGCGUAGUGGAGGUAGACAGCCUUAAGUGAAAUGACUUACUAGCCUAACCUCUGCAUCUUCAAAGACAGAAGACUUUGAAGCCCAUGCAAGGAAAUGGCAUAUGUGGUAGUAAACUUGGAUGGUAAACAGUCAGAAGUGCAGCUAAAGAAACCUGGACUCUGAUUCCUGGACUGAUUCCCAUAGCUCUGGGAAGAAAAUCUUCAUGUCAGUCACUCAACAUUUCAACACGGAACUGCUUUGCUUCUCUUGGCACUAAGGAGGAUCACCUUCAAAAUGUUCCAAAAGUAGCUUCCAGGAAAUCAUCCUUACUACCACAAUCUACAUAGUACAUUCUGGUGAAUAAGGAUCUUCCUGGAUUUCUCCAGCAACUUGAGGUUAUUUAAAUAAAACAAAUCUUCCUGCACAGAGGCAGAGAGUCUCCAAGGUAUGUGUUGUGUCAACUAAACAGAUUCAAGAAAGCUGAAGUUUCUAGAAGUGCAUCUAUUAACUUCAAGAUCUACAAGCACAUAAGAACUCAGUAAGAUCUGGGCCAUCAUAGUUAGUUCCCCAACUUCUUAUCUGUCCCUGGUGCAGACAACCACAAUGCACAUAAUUGCCAUUUUAGUGAAAUUGUUCUCAUGCUCAAGUUUAAACUUCUCAGAUGCAUGACUUGCUGCCAUGACAUUCUGCAGGAAGAAACACCUCUGGAGCAAAUCUGCCUCCUUGGAACUAGCCUGAAUGACUCAGUUGAGCUGUCAGCAGUUUGGUCUAGCAGCUGGUUACAAGUGAUAUCUCCUUGAAGAUGGUAACAAGGUUAGAACUAUUUUUAAGUCAUAAAACUUAAAGAGGACACUAUCAUGAGGUUCAGCAUGGGGAAGUUGGCUGAUACACUGGAGGAGAGCAGGACUACUUCUUAGUACUCAAGUACCCUGGAGGACCAGUUCAAAAACAACCUCCUGAUGUUCAAAGAAAUCAGAAAUUGUGUGCCCAGGGGACAACCACAGAGCAACUGCAUGCAUUGCAAAGUAGAGGCCAGCUGCAGACUGAUCUGGCAGCUGAGGAGAACCCAAGGGCAUAACUAGAAAGCAAGUUGAGAAAGAGUCAGCCACGUGCCCUUGCCCCAGCAAUAGUUAUGUGCCUACAAGACUGCAAAGAGUGAGAACAACCAACAGACCAAAAUGGACCAAGGAAGUGACAAAGUUCUACACCAGCUGCUAAUAUAACCAUAGAAGACAAGAGACUUCCAUCAGAUUUACCACUUGAACUAGCUUUCAUCUAUGCUAAAGGGUAGAAAGUAAGCAAAAGGAACAGGGGGUGAGUACAUUGAAGUUUAAAUAAAGAUAACUACUAUUUCUGAUGAACUUUGACGUAGAUUAGGGAGGGCCAUAAGUAACAGAGAAAAUUGCUUCUAUACAACCUUCAUUAUUUCUUAGAAAUGUGCCAAGGCAGUGUUCUUAAUGAAACCUGAUGCCAGACGGGGAAACUCAUCCAGUUUCUCAUCUAGAUAAGUGUCUCCUUAACAUGUAGUAUUUGUUUCUUUCAUCUGAAGUGGUGUGCGGCAGAACAAGAAUUCUACUAGUUAUUUAAAAAAUAAAGGUAAUGCUUAGUAUACAGCCUGGUUUUGGUUGACAUUGGCAGGUCACUUCCACUGGCUUCCGUGGCAAAAAUGGAAUAAUGCUCCCUUCCCACAGAGGAACAAUUGUCAAGAUUUCCAAACAAUUUCAAUCAUUCGUCAAUGUUAAAUACUACUUUAAGUUAUUUAUCACGACUAAUUACAACACCAAAUUUUCCUUGUAAGGUAUUGACAUCAAAGCAAUAUAGGGGAUCAAUGUUAGCAUUGACAUAACUACUUUGAAACUAACCAACAUGCAAUAGGUAUAAUUUAUAAUUUACCCCUUACGUGAAGAAAAUAAAAGACUAGGACCUAACUUAUUCCCUGCAUAGAUUAUAAGACUGGAGAUCAAGUCUUACCAGAUCUUCAUGUAACACACUCUCACCAGUCAAGACAGAAGUGUCAAUGGGCUUUCACCACAUUUUCUUUUAAAGUUAAAGCAAACAAAUAUUCCAGAAGGCAGUUACCUCAAUAAGUAGUGAGAGAAUAUAUUACUAUGGCAGAGACAUGUGGCAAGCUAUCACCUCUCUCUCCAAUUUUAAGGAGAGAGAAGGGAAUGACAGGAAACGGGCAGAAGUUUCAUGCAUUUGCAUCCAAUUGCAGCAAGAUUUUUAAAAAACAAAAUAUCAACAUGGCAUUUCUAAGAAAAACCCAUGGACAAAAUUGGGGGGGAGUUCCAUUACGAAAACUUGCAACUCAAACAAGAAUUAUAUUACAUUUAUUUUUCAUAUAUUGUUAUUCUCUCCUAUUCUC